CAUGGCAGUGUUUGUAAUGUUUUUUUAUUGAUUUAAAGUAUUUUUAUGUAUAAUAAAAAAAAUAUUAGCAUUCUGCACUCCUUCUCUAUAUUCUCUAUAAGUGUGGGAAAUUUUAAACUCUGUUCGCGCAAUUUUCGUAAAAAGGGGUACAUAUAAAGUUUUUGCUUCACGCAUUAUUAUAUGGAUAAGCUAUCAAAGCCGCGUGACUUAUAUUCAAGCAAACGGACCAUAUCUUUUCAAUUCUAUUACAGUUUACAAACCAAAUAGCUUCCUUUUUUUUGGUCACGGACGACACAAAUUGACGGUUUCUUAGGACUGUCUAAGGUUUGGUCACACACAUUUAGGUCAACCAUUGAUCUUCAUACAAACGCCAGCGAAAAUGCAUUCAAAUAAAUAACAUUUAAAAAAAAAACUAAAACCAGGCUUUUGUAGAAAAUCCAAAUAAAAAUUGAAAAAAUAAUUUAUUGUAAAAUAAGCGUGGUGUGCAUGAUGACAAUAGUUAUUAAUUAAUAUUUUAUUUACAGAUACAGGUAUGAGAAGGAUAAUCAUUUUAAUAAUAUCUUGAAAAGCACCCCACACUUUUUUUACAAUAAAUCUAUUUUCUAUUUUUUUAUUGGAUUUUCUAUAAAAGCGUGUUUUUAAGCAUAGCUUUUAUCGCGGGCUUUGAGCGCGGCGACUGAAUCAAGAAAUUCCGUAACGAAAAUAACCUGACACCCCCACUACGCCUACUAUGUAGCUCGCGUUCAACACAUUCACAUGUUGCGCUGGUGUAGUGUUUGUGAAUAAGCGCGCGGCGUGACGUCGCACUGCAUGAGCAUCAUGAAAAGUCUGCCCAUCUCUCUCUCACGCGGUCUAGCUUAUGAGUGUGAAGGGGACAGUUAUUUUUUUGCUUUUGUUAAUGUUUUUAAAUAUAGCGUGGUCUUAUUUUUUAUUAUUGUUUUAAUAUUAAAUUAUUAUUGUCUAAUUGUAAUUGCAUAAGUUAAUAAAAAAUGCUUUGCAAUAGCUUUACCGCGGCAGUCCCCGAGUGCCA